rnacentral:rRNA from 1 species
UACGUAGGGGGCAAGCGUUGUCCGGAAUCACUGGGCGUAAAGGGUGCGUAGGCGGGUCUUUAAGUCAGUGGUGAAAUCCUGGAGCUCAACUCCAGAACUGCCUUUGAUACUGAAGAUCUUGAGUUCGGGAGAGGUGAGUGGAACUGCGAGUGUAGAGGUGAAAUUCGUAGAUAUUCGCAAGAACACCAGUGGCGAAGGCGGCUCACUGGCCCGGUACUGACGCUGAGGCACGAAAGCGUGGGGAGCAAACAGG